rnacentral:rRNA from 1 species
GAUGAACGCUAGCGGCAGGCUUAACACAUGCAAGUCGAGGGGUAUAGUUCUUCGGAGCUAGAGACCGGCGCACGGGUGCGUAACGCGUAUGCAAUCUCCCUUUUGCAGAGGGAUAGCCCAGAGAAAUUUGGAUUAAUACCUCAUGGUAUGUGAGAAUGGCAUCAUUUUCACAUUAAAGUCACAACGGCAAAAGAUGAGCAUGCGUCCCAUUAGCUAGUUGGUAAGGUAACGGCUUACCAAGGCAACGAUGGGUAGGGGUCCUGAGAGGGAGAUCCCCCACACUGGUACUGAGACACGGACCAGACUCCUACGGGAGGCAGCAGUGAGGAAUAUUGGACAAUGGGCGCAAGCCUGAUCCAGCCUUGCCGCGUGCAGGAUGACGGUCCUAUGGAUUGUAAACUGCUUUUGUACAGGAAGAAACACUGGUUCGUGAACCAGCUUGACGGUACUGUAAGAAUAAGGAUCGGCUAACUCCGUGCCAGCCGCCGCGGUAAUAC